UUUCUCUUUGUUGUCUCUGUCAGCCAAAUAAUAAGAUGAAGGGAUUAUCCUUGGAGGCAGUCAAUGACUUUCUGAGACAGCUAGCAUUUUCUAUGCAGGGUAAUGUUUUCAAGUGUCAGGAAACAACAGAUACAUAUUGUUGGGGAGGAGGAAAUAACAUGGUUUGAGUUAAAACUAGUCCAGG